ACACUGCAGCUUGCGAGUUGCGAGUCCUCUUCAUCUGAGCCUCUCCUCUCUCUUCAUCUCAGACUUGCAACUCUGCCUCUUCCUCUUCUAGCUCUGGGCCUCAUGAAUCACGAUCUCAACAGCUCAGCCUCUCCCCCUCUGGGCCUCACAAUGUCGGAUCUCAAUCUCUCAAUCUCGACGAGGGAGCCACAGUACUCUGGCUCCUUGGCCCUCGCUCAUGAUUUCAGAUUGUCGGCGUCUUCUCCCUCAUGAUGCUCACUUCUCGGCCAGCUCGAUAUCGGCGACGGUCUCUCGACGGACUCCUCUAGAUAGAGAACCGUGGGGGCUCGUUCUUCCCUCUGCCAUGGAAGAAGUUCAUAUCUUGGACAAUUGAAUGGCUGUUUCACCAAACAGAUAUCAUUGUAGUUGACCAUGGGUGAGCCACACUGCUAAUCUCUUCUGCUUUAUUUGGUGCUAUUUUACAAAAGAAAAAUAAAGAUGCUGCUCUGUUUACAUUUUUACUGUCUGAUAAGAGUUCAGAGAAUUCAGUUUUUGAGAGGAUGUCAUGCUCAUGAUUUCUAAAGUCAAUGAGAACGCAAGCUUCAACACCAUUUUGGAGAAGCAUCUUAAGCCUUGUCCUUGGAAUCAUCAAUUAAGGAAAUUCUGUGAAGAGAAGCUGGAUUGUCUGAAGCUUUUCAUUCGAAAGCAUCCAAAGGUUACUCUUUGUUGCCUUUCAUCCAGUUUGAGUUGUUUGUAGCGGAGUUCGCAUGACUAGUUUAGCUUGUUAAAAAUUUUAGAUCAUGUUAUUUUGCUGUUGACUUUAAUGUGGGGAAUUGUAUUAAAAUUAUUCUAUACACCUCAUAAAUUACAUGUUAUUACAGGACCAAAUUAACCCUUUAAAGAGUUGCACAUGAAAGCUCAUUAGAGAGCAACUAAUAAAUGUAAUCAUUACAGGGACCAAAGUCAAGCUUUGAUUCUGUGA